rnacentral:misc_RNA from 1 species
UCUCCGUAGGUGAACCUGCGGAGGGAUCAUUACAGAGUUCAUGCCCUACCGGGUAGAUCUCCCACCCUAUGUUAUUAUUACUUUGUUGCUUUGGCGGGCCGUUAGGCUCCGGCCCGACUACCGGCCCCGGCUGGUAAGCGCCCGCCAGAGGACCCAAAACCCUGAAUAUUAGUGUCGUCUGAGUACUAUAUAAUAGUUAAACUUUCAACAACGGAUCUCUUGGUUCCG